rnacentral:rRNA from 1 species
AGCAGUCGCCACGGUAAUACGAAGGGUGCAAGCGUUAAUCGGAAUUACUGGGCGUAAAGCGUGCGUAGGCGGUGAGUUAAGUCUGCUGUGAAAUCCCCGGGCUCAACCUGGGAAUGGCAGUGGAUACUGGCUCGCUAGAGUGUGUCAGAGGAUGGUGGAAUUCCCGGUGUAGCGGUGAAAUGCGUAGAGAUCGGGAGGAACAUCAGUGGCGAAGGCAGCCAUCUGGCCUAAUACUGACGCUGAGGUACGAAAGCAUGGGGAGCAAACAGGAUUAGAUACCCGCGUAGUCCCUGUCUCUUAUAA